GAGACUAAGCCAUGCAUGUCUAAGUAUAAACAAAUUUGUACUGUAAAACUGCGGACGGCUCAUUAAAUCAGUUACAAUCUACUUGAUCGUAUAUUCAAAGAAUUAAUCGGGUAACCCUAGUAAUUCUAGAGCUAAUACGUGCAAAAAGCUCCGACCUCUUCUUUUAGGGGAAAAGAGUGUAUUUAUUAGGUAACUUAAAACCAAUCAGCCCAAAAGGCUGUUUUGUUGAUGAUUCAUAAUAACUUUGCAAAAUCGUCGGGCCAAUGUCUGCGAUGAUACAAACGAGUUUCUGACCUAUCAACUUUAGAUGGCAGGAUAGGGGCUUGCCAUGGUGACAACGGGUGACGGGGAAUUAGGGUUCGAUUCCGGAGAGGGAGCCUUGAGAAACGGCUACCACUUCCAAGGAAGGCAGCAGGCGC
rnacentral:rRNA from 1 species